rnacentral:rRNA from 1 species
UGGGGAAUCUUGCGCAAUGGGCGAAAGCCUGACGCAGCGACGCCGCGUGCGGGAAGAAGGCCUUAGGGUUGUAAACCGCUUUCAGGAGGGACGAAGCCACUCAGGUUAAUAGCCCAGAGGGUGACGGUACCUCCAGAAGAAGCCCCGGCUAACUACGUGCCAGCAGCCGCGGUAAUACGUAGGGGGCAAGCGUUGUCCGGAUUCAUUGGGCGUAAAGAGCGUGUAGGCGGCCAGGUAGGUCGGUUGUGAAAACUGGAGGCUCAACCUUCAGAGGUCGACCGAAACCAUCUGGCUAGAGUCCGGGAGAGGAGAGUGAAAUUCCUGGUGUAGCGGUGAAAUGCGCAGAUAUCAGGAAGAACACCCGUGGCGAAAGUCGGCUCUCUGGAACGGUACUGACGCUGAGACGCGAAAGCGUGGGGAGCGAACAGGAUUAGAUACCCUGGUAGUCCACGCCGUAAACGAUGGGCGCUAGGUGUGGGAGGUGUCGACUCCUUCCGUGCCGCAGCUAACG